ACUACACAAAAUACCUAUUUAAAAUAUUAAAUAUCCGUAUUGAUACCCAAACUGUUCUUUAAAAUGAUAUGAUUAUUGUCAAUAAUUUCAUCAAGUAUUUGAAGUCACUAAUAACAGUUAUUGAAAAUGCGUGAUGUUAUCUCGAUGAGGAAGUUUUGAACAUAUUUUUUAUGAUUAGAUUUGGGAACUGACAAAAUUUUACAUGAGUCAGAUAUAAGCGACAAUGAGUGUAAGAGUUCGUGUAGAUAUCUACAGGAGACCAAAAUAAUUUUGUAUAUGUAACAUAUGUGUACAAUAUGUCAGACAACACAGUUACAAACACAGUGGAGGACAUUCGAAAACUUGUUGGAAAAUUUACAGAUAAUCAUCAUGAAAUCGAAGAUUUGUUCAAUCAAGGGCUUAACAAGGCUCUGUCUAAAUCUGAAAUUCGUGCCUAUACAGUAGACGACUGCAAUGAAUUGAUAACAGAGUUGGAUCAUGCUCUGGGUGUUGUCGAAGAUAAAGUAAAUCAUACAUUGAUAAAUGUAAAGGAUCGUCUAAAACAAGCAAAAAUAGACGCAUUAGAAAGAAUUCUUAAGCAUUGUACGUGCCAGGAUGUUAUGCGAAGGGAAGGGCAUAAACGAGCAAAUAUUGGAACAAGGAAGUAUGACAGUGGCGUUGGAUUGACAUGUUCAACAGUCAGGUGAUGCACCCGUUGUUCAACCGACAGACGCAUCCAAGAGCAAUAACUGUGUAGAGGACGACAGUUAAGAUGCAAACGCAGAUAAAAGCGACUGACGUCCGCAAAAGAUAUCAUUGAUUAGCUAGAGCAUAGAAGGAAAAUGUGUAUCCGCAGCUCUGCUUAAUUAUGGAGCACAAGAUUUGACUUGUCAUGGAAAAAGAAUUAAAGCCAUAGCCCAGUUUUGCUGUAGCACAGAAUGAACAUUUUAAGCGUAUCUCUGAUUUGUUUAUACAUUGAUUACGAAUUUUGAAUUUUGGAUCUGUUCCCGUAUAGAACCACCACCAUCACCAUCAUCAUCAAUAUUAUUAUCAGUAGAAGAAGUAGUAGAAAUAGUAGUAGUAAUGGUCCUGGUAGUGGUUGUAGUAGUGGUGGUGGUUGUUGUGUUGGUAUUAUAAUACAUUAUUUUGUAGUAUUAGUUGUUGUAUAUAAUAUGACUCUUUAGAAAUUAAUGACCUAUGUAAGACAUGUCUCAUUUCGUUUCCUUUCAUAUGCCUAUUCUUUGGGUUAAUAAGAUGACUGUUUAGUUGUUUGUGCUAUAUUUGUUUCAUAUUGUAAAUAAUUUGUUUUGUUUCGUAAAAUGUAAAUGUUUUUAUUAUAUUUACCAAUAUCAUAUAUUACAGCUGAAUGCUUUGUAGUUUUGUUCAGAUCUAAGUUUCUUUUAAGACAACAUAUAUAGCAAAGUCAUAAAAUCUAAAUAUUCAAACAGUACGAAGAGUUUAUACGCCGGAGGAAUAAUUUCACUAGGGUGUUUUGUUAUUGAAUUAUAACAUGCGACGUAUAACCGAUUCGUAGUGCUUAAAUAUUCUAAACCUUGUUCGGCUGUAUCUUAUUUCGACUGUUUUAUGUAACAAUAACUUAAAAUAGGGGAGCAUGUGACGUUAACACGUAACCGCGUUUUUACAGUUUUAAAAUACGGUACUAAGUGUAUAGACGUCUCUACGCCUAAUAAUCAUUAUAUGGUAUAUGAUCUCAGUGUAAUAUCCUACAAUUACACCAUUACUAUUUUCAAAUGUCCUUUAUUCAUAAAAUAGUAAAUGAAAAUGUGGUAACACUAUUGGCGUCUGUUUGACGCCAAAUAAUGUAUCGACAUGACGUCAAAGUUUUAAAUGCCGUUUAAGUUUGUAGCAUGUCAUUUUUUCAUGUGUGUAUUGUUUGUUUCAUAUCAUGUCAUGUCAUUAUUUCUUUUAUUUCAUUAGUAAGGUAAUGAAUAAUCUGGUAACAAAUACCGUAAGAUAUGAAUAUACAGAGUCUUUAUUGUAUUUUACUGACCUGAUAAAAAGCGGUAUUUUAUGAUACAAGUCAUGCUGAUCAAAAUUUGUUUUGAUAGUAAUAACAAAAGUAUCAAUCUCAUAAGUGGAAAUAGUAAAAUAGUAACCGCUGUGUUUGCAUGAUGGGAUAUAUUUUAUAUUACAAUUAGAAGUGUAUAUUUUAUAUUUUUUUAUUUAUUUUUUUUUUGUUGGGUUUAACGUCGCACCGACACA
rnacentral:misc_RNA from 1 species